rnacentral:rRNA from 1 species
UACGUAGGGUGCGAGCGUUGUCCGGAAUUAUUGGGCGUAAAGAGCUCGUAGGCGGUGUGUCACGUCGGCCGUGAAAACCUGGGGCUUAACUCUGGGCGUGCGGUCGAUACGGGCAUCACUAGAGUUCGGCAGGGGAGACUGGAAUUCCUGGUGUAGCGGUGAAAUGCGCAGAUAUCAGGAGGAAUACCGAUGGCGAAGGCAGGUCUCUGGGCUGACACUGACGCUCAUGCACGAAAGCGUGGGGAGCAAACAGG